rnacentral:rRNA from 1 species
AGAACCUGAAACCGUGUACGUACAAGCAGUGGGAGCCCCACCACUAAGCCAGUGGUGAACUCCACAUACGCAUCCUUUGCUGAGGAUACGGUUAACGGAGCGAAAGCGACGUUCAACCUCAAAAGAAGCAGAGGGGGCUUAGUGGUGGGGUGACUGCGUACCUUUUGUAUAAUGGGUCAGCGACUUAUAUUCUGUAGCAAGGUUAACCGAAUAGGGGAGCCGGAGGGAAACCGAGUCUUAACCGGGCGUUAAGUUGCAGGGUAUAGACCCGAAACCCGGUGAUCUAGCCAUGGGCAGGUUGAAGGUUGGGUAACACUAACUGGAGGACCGAACCGACUAAUGUUGAAAAAUUAGCGGAUGACCUGUGGCUGGGGGUGAAAGGCCAAUCAAACCGGGAGAUAGCUGGUUCUCCCCGAAAGCUAUUUAGGUAGCGCCUCGUGAAUUCAUCUCCGGGGGUAGAGCACUGUUUCGGCUAGGGGGCCAUCCCGGCUUACCAACCCGAUGCAAACUGCGAAUACCGGAGAAUGUUAUCACGGGAGACACACGGCGGGUGCUAACGUCCGUCGUGAAGAGGGAAACAACCCAGACCGCCAGCUAAGGUCCCAAAGUCAUGGUUAAGUGGGAAACGAUGUGGGAAGGCCCAGACAGCCAGGAUGUUGGCUUAGAAGCAGCCAUCAUUUAAAGAAAGCGUAAUAGCUCACUGGUCGAGUCGGCCUGCGCGGAAGAUGUAACGGGGCUAAACCAUG